UACGGAGGGUGCAAGCGUUGUCCGGAAUCAUUGGGUGUAAAGGGUGCGCAGGCGGGCCACUAAGUCGAGGGUGAAAUCUUGCCGCUUAACGGUAAAAUGGCCUUCGAUACUGGUGGUCUUGAGUCCAGAAGAGGCCGGUGGAAUUCGUGGUGUAGCGGUGAAAUGCAUAGAUAUCACGAAGAACACCAGUGGCGAAGGCGGCCGGCUGGUCUGGAACUGACGCUGAGGCACGAGAGCGUGGGGAGCGAACAGG
rnacentral:misc_RNA from 1 species